rnacentral:rRNA from 1 species
UACGGAGGGUGCGAGCGUUGUCCGGAAUCACUGGGCGUAAAGGGUGCGUAGGUGGCUGGGAAAGUUUGAUGUGAAAGCUCAGGGCUUAACCCUGAAAUGGCAUUGAAUACUGCCUGGCCGGAGGUUUGGAGGGGGGGACUGGAAUUCUUGGUGUAGCAGUGAAAUGCGUAGAUAUCAAGAGGAACACCAGUGGCGAAGGCGAGUCCCUGGACAACACCUGACACUGAGGCACGAAAGCCGGGGGAGCAAACAGG